rnacentral:rRNA from 1 species
CCUACGGGUGGCAGCAGUAGGGAAUCUUGCUCAAUGGGGGAAACCCUGACGCAGCAACGCCGCGUGGAGGAUGACGGUUUUCGGAUUGUAAACUCCUUUUGAUAGAGACGAUAAUGACGGUAUCUAACGAAUAAGCACCGUCUAACUCCGUGCCAGCAGCCGCGGUAAUACGGAGGGUGCAAGCGUUACUCGGAAUCACUGGGCGUAAAGGGCGCGUAGGCGGGAUAGCAAGUCAGAUGUGAAAUCCUAUGGCGUAACCAUAGCACUGUAUUGGAAACUGUUAUUCUAGAGUAUGGGAGAGGUAGGUGGAAUUCUUGGUGUAGGGGUGAAAUCCGUAGAGAGCAAGAAGAAUACUCAUUGCGAAGGCGACCUGCUGGAACAUAACUGACGCUGAUGCGCGAAAGCGUGGGGAGCAAACAGGAUUAGAUACCCGGGUAGUC